UUUUAAAAAAAAAAAAAAAAAACGUGUAUCACAAUACCGCCGAUUUCGCGCGAAAAAUAUUCGAAUACUUCGUACGUUAUUAUUAUCAACGGCAAAAGUAUAUACUACUAUAAGCGCGAUAUGAAUAAACCCGUGAAAAAAAAAAAAAAAUCUCGGUUUUAUUAUACCAUUCGUCUUUUAACCAUCGGCAGAGGAAUCAUACAUCUAUCAUUAUCGAAAAUUCAGAUUAAAUUUAUUUCUUCGCCUCGAUAUUCCGUUAUGUUACGAACAAUAUUAUGCACGGUGUCCCGCGGAGACAAUAUGCGCAUUGCGAUAUCUCGGAAAGAAUUAAAAGGGUUUUGACAAAUUAGGAAACAAGUGCACUCAUACGAAUGAUGUUCCACAACUCUUUUAUUCCUAGGCAAAUUGUGCUAAAAACUAAUUGUUUGUUAUAUUGCCAAAAAAAAAAAAAAAAUAAAUUCCGAAACAAGUUAUUAAUUUCCGAGAUAUCGCGAUGGGACACUCUGUAUUGGGUUAUUAUGCGGAAACGAAGGGUAAAAACGA